rfam:Aedes aegypti strain Liverpool supercont1.157 genomic scaffold, whole genome shotgun sequence.
UGCCAGUAACACCUAUUCCUACCUCCUCGUGGUACUGGCCGGGGUACGAGGAACCUUGGGAAAGAUCAGAUAACCAAGCCCGGUGGGAGCUUUGGUCGUAUGCUGACAGGGAAGA